UACGUAGGGUGCAAGCGUUAAUCGGAAUUACUGGGCGUAAAGCGUGCGCAGGCGGUUCCGCAAGUCAGAUGUGAAAUCCCCGGGCUUAACCUGGGAACUGCAUUUGAAACUAUGGAGCUAGAGUGUGUCAGAGGGGGGUAGAAUUCCACGUGUAGCAGUGAAAUGCGUAGAGAUGUGGAGGAAUACCGAUGGCGAAGGCAGCCCCCUGGGAUAACACUGACGCUCAUGCACGAAAGCGUGGGGAGCAAACAGG
rnacentral:rRNA from 1 species